rnacentral:misc_RNA from 1 species
AGAAGAAGAAGAAAAAAAAAAAAAAAGCCCCAAAGGUAAUUUGCCUGUCACGGACAAUGACAAAUCCCCUAAUCAAUCGGUAGCUUCCUGCAAAGACACGAUUCAAUCCAAGGUAUAAUUGACCAAUUACCUUACUAAUUCUUUCGAUUUCUUUAUGCAUUCCUCUCGUCUCAAUAGCAACAAACCCUAGAUUGCUACUCUCUCUUUAGGUAUUUGAUAUGGAGAAUAUGCAGUACGCGGAGGAGCUGGUAAGGGAAUUUCUAGUUUUUAGAGGGUUUACUAAUGCUCUGCAGGCUUUCGAGAUGGAAUUAUCCACGGAUAUUGGUAAAGGGUUUCAAGUAGAUAAGAUAUUAGACUUAAUCUUCUCCAUAUACAUUCCCAAAUUUCAAGCAGAGAAAUUGGUCGGUCUGCUUAGGUUCUUCAAGCAGUGUUUUUCUUCGGUAUCUGAGGCUGUACUUCUUUCUACUUUAUCGAAGCUGGAGGUUUCGAUUCUUCGUUAUUAUAUCGUUUGCGCGGUGCAAUCAGGAAGGAAAGAUAAAGUGGUGGAAUUUUUUGGAAUGAAUGGAAAUGAUUUGCUGCAAAGAGGUGGUGAUUGGACUCCGUGGUUUGCUAUUCCGUAUUUGAAGAACCCCAGCUUGGAUCCUCAGUUUCGCAUUUAUUUCUCUAAGGAGUGGUAUGAAGCAUUGCGCCUUUCUGUGAGGAAUUUCUUCAGUGAGAUCUUCAGUGGUACUCGCAUCCCUGCCCUGUUGAGGAUCAGUUCAGAGAAGAACACAAUCAAGCAUCUCAACAACGACAUCAAGCAACUUAACAUGAAGCUAUCGCAACUUCAGGCUUUAUUUGAGGAGAAAGAGGCUCAGUUGUGCAGGUUGAGGAGUAAUGGCAACAAUGCUGCAUCUAUAUUGGAUUCUAAUGUGGGACAAGGCAACAAUUCAACCCCAUCAAGUGCUAUGAGGACUGUGGAAACUUGUGUUUCUGCUAUCCCUAGUAUAAGUGAAACUGAGCAGGCUCAAGAAAGGGCCACUGGUGGACCUGCC